GUUUGUGUAGCUUAAAUUAAGAGCUUAAUAUUGAAGAUAUUAAAGUAAACCCUGGUUUCUCAAACAC
rnacentral:tRNA from 1 species